rnacentral:lncRNA from 1 species
UGUGGGUUGUAGGAUGCCUUUGUGUAUGCAGUGGCUCUAGGUGACUCUGGCAGCCACACUCUGGGCCCUAAACUUCUGGAGGAAGAUACAGGAUAGGGAGGAACUCAGGGGUGAGUCAUGGUGGGGACAAGACAUUCCCUCACUCUAAGACCUUGUCACUAGAUUGGAACAUCUCUUGCCUCCCUACACCUGACCUGAUGGUUCUGGAGAGAUACGUCCUUGCAGCUUCUGAGUCCCAGCACUAAGCAGCCUUUGGUAACUUCCCUACAUCAUUUGAGUUCUGGUUUCCUAAGGAUGCUUGCCAGUGAGUGCCAUGGUGCCCUCAUUGCACAGUCUGUGCAGUGUAGACAAGAGGGGAAGUCUCUUGGGGUAGACCAGCCGCAAGGCGGUGACUAGCACUGAUGUGAACCACAUGGGACAGGGGAGUUGUGGGGCUGAGAACACGGAGGGUGGGAGUAGUCAUGCUCUUUUCCAGAAUGAACUGCUAACGAAGGGACUCGCAGGUGGCUGCUGCUUCUUUCCAAGCUGCCCCUGUUGUUGCAGAGGCUCUGGAGUCCUAGGAGGUUUCACGGUGGCAUACUCGACAGAGUACUAGAGCAUCAUGGCCAGAUAGUGAUGCUGGGGUGUGGGGCCUCACGGUGGCCAUUUCUGACGAGACCCCACCGGGCCAAAGUGAUGUGUAGAGAAGGAGCUGCUUCGGUCACCAGAAAAGAACGGGGAAGCCUCCCACACUAGAAUAGGUAGGGUGCUCUUCUCCACCGGCAGGAAGGGGAUGUAUGGCUCUGCCUGGACCACACCUUUUUCCUUGCUCUUCCCUCCGCAUCUGCUGUGGCCGAGGCCAUUCCUCAUCAGGGAACAUGUGUUAGAGGCUCACGCCACCUGGGACCACUUGUCUUAUCACCCCCAGGACCCUAGGCGGUAGUUUCCUGUGGCCUGAGUUAGCUGAUAUUUAUAUAGUGCCAUUGUGCCUUUUCUCCUGUGAUGCUCACAGUAAGGAUGCCUAGAUGGGGUUACCUGUUGUCAAGAUAAGGAAACUGAAGCACAGAAUGCUGAGGUCAUUUGCUGGGUUCAUGUUUGGAAAGCGGCAAAGGAUUUCAGUGCAGGUUGGCUGGCUCCAAACCUGUGUGUGCUUUCCAUGACACUGUACUGUGUGCCUCAUUGAGCCUCAUUCUAGAAAACCAAAAACACACCCAAGGCCCGGCCUUCACAAAGGAGACCCCUCCCCCAUUUGGCUCCCUUUCCAGCAGUCGACGGCCUCUUGUCAGCCAUCGAGCCCAGAGUCCCUUGAAGUGCGACUCAUGCUGGGGUGGUAUGCUCAGGAGCCGCAGUGUUUCCGCUCAGAGGAAAGGGCUCUGAUUCUCCUGCAGUGCUAGGAGACUUGUGGGUGGCCACAGUGCAGGUCAGGCACACCGGCCAGCACCACCCACAGCCCAAAUUCCUAAAGAAAUAUUUGGGUCCCAGCUUGGCCCGAGUCUCUGUUGUCCUGGGGAAGGACAUCAAGAUCUGAGUGUAUGAUGGCCUGGGGCCUUGCAUGUGGUGGGGGUCCAAGCCUGCCUCUGCUCACUUGUUCUGCAGACUGGCAUGUUCUCUGUGAUACUUACAUACUUGUUUAACACUUCAGGGAAGAAAAGUCAGAAGACCAGGACCUCCAGGGCCUCAAGGACAAACCCCUCAAGUUUAAAAAGGUGAAGAAAGAUAAGAAAGAAGAGAAAGAGGGCAAGCAUGAGCCCGUGCAGCCAUCAGCC